CAUGAUGCUAUUUACCUACACCAAUUUAGUAGUCAAUGCAGACUUCAAAAAUCGUAAAGUUAAGUGUAGCAGGUAGGAAUAUCAAAGAGUUUUGUUACAAAUUCCCCAGUGUAUUGUCAAUUCCGCAUUACCAAGUCCAGAGUAAGAAGUAACCUAGAAGUAAUAUAUAUAGAAGCAAAGUUCCCUACAUCCUCGUUGUGUCUCUCAAAAUAUCAAAUUCAGAACCUUUGAAACCAUUUUCUCAAUGUCUUCUUUGUCCAGCAGGUUAUAUAUCAAACCUAUGUUUAUCAAACAAUUUUUUUGUUUUUGUCUAACCUAACAUGUUUUAAUCUGGUUCGAUGAGAUUAACUGUUUCGAAUUUACAGUGUAUCAUAUUUUGAUACAGACGAAAUCAUGAAAAUAAUAGGUGGAUAGCUUAGGGAUGUGAACCAACCAUAACCUUUAAACGAAGUUCAAGCAACUUAUAUGUUCCCUAAAAUCAACAAGAGUGAGGAGAAUGAAGUACAUUGUCAAGCACAAUAGGAGAAUGCGAAUGAUGGAUUUGUUGAAAAGGUGAAUGUAGAACAGUCCAAUGCAACACGGGAGAAAGUGAAUGUAGAAGAAUUGAAAUCAGAUUUGUAUUGGGAGAAAGAGAUCAGAAGGACUUUAAAGGGUGGAAAAAAUGUAUUGGUGAUAAUUUAUAUAAGAUAUUGCAAAUCAUUUUUCCUCUAUAUGUUUUUCAUUUUAGUAUAAUGAUUAUUUUGAUUAUGUAUAAACUGACAAAACAUUUAAGUUUGUAGUAUUUUCCAGCUGAUAAUGUUAGGAUGGGUCUACGUGUGGACCAUACUGCCCUCACCUUGGUGGACCUUAAAAAUAUGACAUUCCACGAAUGUGAGAUUCUCAAAGGAAACAAAUCAAGGAUGGAGAAGCACCUUGGCUAUGGUUGGUAUGAGUAUGCAAAGUCAAAAUAGUUUAAGAUUGACGAUCUCUUGCUAUUUUAUUAUCGCACUGCUCCACAAAUGAUGAACGUUAGGCUGCUGAGACAACCAAGAAAGAAGAAUGCUUGAAGGAAUAAAUGAGGAUUUAAGAAACCAAAAAUCCGCAGAAGUAGUUAGAAGGAUGUCAAAAGGUGUUCGAACUGCAUGCAAGAGGUUUAGCGGGUGUGGUCGAUGAUGGUGAGACACAACCGUUGGAAAUCAAAAAUCGACGACGGUGGUGGAAUCACAUGUGGAAGGCUAUGGUCUGCGGAGGGGUCGGUCGAGUGGUGGAGCUUUGGUUGGCAGCAGAGGUUCAUGUCGGUAUACAACGGUUCAAGUUUUUGGUUGGGUGUUUUGGGCUUCUCUGAUCGGUCAAUGGAUAUGUUCGUUAAUGAGUUAUGUUUUAGACUUCUUAUGCAUUCAUUAGGUUUCAAAAGUUAUAAAUAUGUAUCUCCCAUAGAGUAGAUCAUUUGAUGACACUAGGUAAACAAAUUAUUGUGUUUAUUGUCUUUAUUUUAUCUUAUUUUGUCAAUUACAUUGAUCUCUUAAUGCUUAGAGAUUUAUA